ACGUAGGAUUAUUUUGAUUCGAACCACGUUAAAUCUUGUGUUCUUUCUUUUACGUUUUCGCUAACAAUGUAUAUAUGUGUUCUUCGUCGUGAUUGUACUUAAAUACAAUUUGCUCUUACUAAACAUAUUUAGAUUUCCAUAUUAGCAGGUAUAUCUUCAGCUGUGGGGGCAGUAGUUGAUUGUCACAAAGGAAAAAAUAUUGGUUCGACCUCUGGUGCACCCUGUGACCGACAUCAUGUAGAGACAUUUAUUGUCAUAAACAAAGGUAUUUUAAAAAGAUCUUCUAAAGUAAAAUAUUUUCACAAGUUGGUACUAAAAGAAACUAAAUGACCCAGUAUUAUUUGUUGCGUCAUAAUACACGAGUUAAUGCACAACUGUCGAAUUGGUCUGGCAGCAAAGGAUAAGCUUUUGAAAAUAUUUACAUAGCUGCUGCAGGGGGCUGUUAUGGAAUUAAACAACCCUCAGACAAGCUUUGAGUCUUAUGGGACAUCUACUGGAGACAGAAGGAAAAUUGAGAGAUGGUACUAAGGACGACCUCUUUCCCAGAACAAGAAAGAGAGGAAGAAAGUGACAGAAGUGGGUAUAUUGAAGAAGGAUCCUGACCAACUAAAAUAUCAGAUUCAGAAACUAGAAGUGAUGG